rnacentral:rRNA from 1 species
UGAAAAUGUAAUUUAAAAAUUUAAAUUAGUAUUAGUUAUGUUCUUGAAAAUUAAAGAUUUUGGCGGUAUUUUAGUCUAUUCAGAGGAACCUGUUCUAUAAUUGAUAAUCCACGAUUAUUCGUACUUAAUUUAAUUAGUUUGUAUAUCAUCGUUAAUUGAAUAUUUUAAAAGAAUUAAAUAUUCAAAAUUUUUAAUUUAAAAAUAAAUCAGAUCAAGGUGCAGUUUAUAAUUAAGUAGAAAUGGGUUACAAUAAAUUUAUUUAUAUGGAUACUAAUUUUAAAAUUUAGUUGAAAGUGGAUUUGAAAGUAAUUAUAUAAUAUUAAUAUAAUGAUUUAAGCUCUAAAAUAUGU